rnacentral:rRNA from 1 species
CAGCAGCCGCGGUAAUACGUAGGUGGCAAGCGUUGUCCGGAAUUAUUGGGCGUAAAGGGCUCGCAGGCGGUUUCUUAAGUCUGAUGUGAAAGCCCCCGGCUCAACCGGGGAGGGUCAUUGGAAACUGGGAAACUUGAGUGCAGAAGAGGAGAGUGGAAUUCCACGCGUAGCGGUGAAAUGCGCAGAGAUGUGGAGGAACACCAGUGGCGAAGGCGACUCUCUGGUCUGUAACUGACGCUGAGGAGCGAAAGCGUGGGGAGCGAACAGGAUUAGAUACCCCGGUAGUCCCUGUCUCUUAUAC